rnacentral:rRNA from 1 species
CCUACGGGGGGCUGCAGUGGGGGAUAUUGGACAAUGGGGGGAACCCUGAUCCAGCGACGCCGCGUGAGUGAAGAAGUAUUUCGGUAUGUAAAGCUCUGUCAGCAGGGAAGAAAGCAAUGACGGUACCUGACCAAGAAGCCCCGGCUAACUACGUGCCAGCAGCCGCGGUAAUACGUAGGGGGCAAGCGUUAUCCGGAAUUACUGGGUGUAAAGGGAGCGUAGACGGCUGUGCAAGUCUGGAGUGAAAGGCGGGGGCGCAACCCCCGGACUGCUCUGGAAACUGUAUGGCUGGAGUGCAGGAGAGGGAAGCGGAAUUCCUAGGGUAGCGGUGAAAUGCGUAGAUAUUAGGAGGAACACCAGUGGCGAAGGCGGCUUACUGGACUGUAACUGACGUUGAGGCUCGAAAGCGUGGGGAGCAAACAGGAUUAGAUACCCUAGUAGUC